rnacentral:tRNA from 1 species
GCCUCAUUAGCUCAGUGGUUAGAGCACUGGUCUUGUAAACCAGAGGUCUGGUGUUCAAUUCUCUAAUGGGGCU